AGUCAAUUGAAGGAUGGAACAAAAGAAAGAUCAAGAACUGAACUAAAAAGUCGCAAGUCAAACCUGUAUGUACGGGAUGUGAACAGCCGCACAUAAGAAAUAUGAAUCAUCCAGUGUGUUAAAACUCGAAGAACAAAGUAAGGAUAAUCUUUUGACAGUAAUUGGAGAUACCAGUCCACAUUUUUGAGUUUCUGCAAUUACUCUUCAACAAGUGCUCAUUUAAUAUAUUUAAUUCCCAUCAUGUUCACUCUAUGCCCAAGUGUCUCUCACUCGACAGAUUUGAGCAUUCUUGUGUUCAACACCUGUUGGAUGUAAAUUGAGUCAAUUGGAUGGUGGAAACAAAAGGGAUCGAAGAUCAAGAAUUGUACCAAAAAGUAUGAAGUCAGACUUGUACGUACAGAAUGUAAAGAGUCACAUAUAUGAAGUACAUGAGCCAUCCAGUGUGCUGAAAGUCAAGGAACAAAGCAAGGUGGACCCAACAAGUGUAUAAGAGUAGGAUGGUUGGAGUAGGAGAAGACACAACAAGCAAGUUGCAUUUGCGAGAAGAAUCAACAAUUAAGAAGAAUAAGAAGAUGGUGAGAGUGGAUGCAAAUUGCAGUGGUUUGAGGUUCCAAGUCAUUCUUAGUAGAGCUUGGUUGAGCUUCCAAACAUGGAGAGUCUUUUAUUCUUAGUAGAGCUUAACAUAUAAUGAAUUAUAAAAGUUUGGUUGAGCUUCUAAACAUGGAGAGAAGAUGGUGUUCCAAUUGCUCUUAGGAGUUUGUCCUCAUUGAAAGAAUUAGAUUUAAUGGGAAGAUACCAUCUUUAAAGUUUACCAUUAAGCCUUUGCCAUCAUUCCAAUUUGAAGGAUCUCUACUUGGACAAUCUGCAGAAUCUUAGAUCACUUCCACAACUUCCUCCUAAUUUGGAGACUCUCUGCAAAGAAUUGUGUAUAAUUAGAAAAGAUAGCAGAUCUAUCUAACUUGAAAAGACUUUAAUGAAUAGAUAUUCAGAACUGCAAAAGUUUGGUUGAGUUUUUUGGCUUGGAGAGUCUUGAAUCCUUACAUAGCCUUGGGAUAGCAAAUUGCAGCAGUUUGAGGAUUCCUUCGAUUAAAAAGCAGUUCAAGGCACGUUCUAAAGGUGAUAGUGUCCAUAUUAUUGCGAUUCAAGUGAGCGUUGAAAAGAUAACCGCCUGGUACUUAAGGACUAAAGCGGGACAUCGGGAAAUAAUGGGGGUCCCUAUUGCUGCCAACCUCGGCAUACCAAUUCUCAAUGAAAGAGUCUCCAAAAACACGUUUAUUGCAGUUGUCGACAAGAUGCGUAAAAAGCUUGCCUCUUAGAUGGAAAGUCAGUUCCCUUAGUAUGGAGGGGAGGAGAACAUUAGUCCAAUCCUCGUUGGCGACUGUACCUACUUAUGCUAUGCAAGCCAUGACCUUACCGGUACUUGCCAUGAGAUUGACCGUAUUUGUAAAAACUUUCUUUGGGGCCAUGCAGAUAAUACAAGUAAGAUCCAUACGGUUAAUAGGAGUGAUAUCUGUAAACCCCGGGACAUGGGAGGCUUGGGUCUUAGAAUGGCUCGAGACUUCAACCUAGCAUUCUUGACUAAAAUGGCCUGGCAAGUGUUCACCUUUGUUACAGAAAACUAAUUGCUGAGAUCGCCACCUAUCCAUGUUGCGAGGCUUAGGAUGAAACAGUGGAUCACUUUUUCCGGCAUGUGACACCUCCCUAGCGUGCUGGAACCUUGUGGAUCCUCCGUUGGAUUUUCACAUAAAAAAUCAUCUGCCGAUGAUGCAAUGGUUGGAAGCCGGCUGCGCAACAAACCACCAUGGUAGAACGGGUGUCAACUGGUCGAUCCUUUUCCCCCAUAUUCUCUGGAAUACUUGGAAGCUAAGACUCGCAACGAUAUUAUCUUCAACAGCAAAAGGACUCCUGAAACACCGUGAUGUUGAGGCCCUUGAAGCGCAAUAACUCGGAACCGUCUAUGGUUGAUAAUACUUUGGUGGCAGAUUGCAAGCAUCUUAUGGGCCUAUUUCAGAUCAUCAAAGUCGUGCAUAUUUUUCGUGAGGACAACCAGUGUGCCAACUAUCUAGCUAAUAUGGACCAACAUUCGCCUUGGGGAACUACGGUGUUAGAACUCCACCCGAAUGGCUUAGCUGAGCUCCUACAACGUGACGCUUUGAACAUUGCUACUAGUAGACAUAGAUAAUCCUGGGGCCUCCAGGCUCCUCCCUCCUACCAAAAAAAAUGGGAAGGAAUUUUCCUAUCCCGAAAUACAUCAUCAUUAUACUAAUAUGUCAAUAAGUGAUAUACUCAUAUAUCCAUCAUCAUUAUAUUAAAAGCUUUAUUAUGUAUACUUUCAAA